AGGGAAUAUUGGGCAAUGGAGGCAACUCUGACCCAGCCAUGCCGCGUGAAGGAAGACGGUCCUAUGGAUUGUAAACUUCUUUUAUCAUAGAGUAACCGCAGGGACGUGUCCCUGCCUGCAAGUAUAUGAUGAAUAAGCAUCGGCUAACUCCGUGCCAGCAGCCGCGGUAAUACGGAGGAUGCAAGCGUUAUCCGGAUUUAUUGGGUUUAAAGGGUGCGCAGGCGGACCGGUAAGUCAGGGGUGAAACUUUACAGCUUAACUGUAAACGUGCCUUUGAUACUGCCGGACUAGAGUUUAAGAGACGUAAUUGGAAUGUGAUGUGUAGCGGUGAAAUGCUUAGAUAUAUCACAGAACGCCAAUCGUGAAGACAGAUUACGAACUUAAUACUGACGCUCAUGCACGAAAGCGUGGGGAUCAAAC
rnacentral:rRNA from 1 species